rnacentral:rRNA from 1 species
UACGGAGGGGGCUAGCGUUGUUCGGAAUUACUGGGCGUAAAGCGCACGUAGGCGGACUGUUAAGUCGGGGGUGAAAUCCUGGGGCUCAACCUCAGAAUUGCCUCCGAUACUGGCAGUCUCGAGUGCGGGAGAGGUGAGUGGAAUUCCCAGUGUAGAGGUGAAAUUCGUAGAUAUUGGGAAGAACACCAGUGGCGAAGGCGGCUCACUGGCCCGGUAACUG